AGAGAUAAAGAAAGAAAGGGAAGAUUAAGGUGGAGUGUAGGUGGUGUCGUAGUGAAUAGUAGAAAUACAACAGAUUGUUGCUUCUCUUUUCCCCCAAGAAAAAGCAAAUAAGUAAUAGUUAUAUGUUAAGAUGAUUACUUCUCAAAUACCAGAAAUUUGGAGAGAAAAGUUAACCUUUUGGAAACACAACGAUAUAUUGUCUUGAUUGAUUUUACUUUAUAGCAAAAAGAAAAUAAAUCUAUAAAUCAUUUCUCGAAAAGCAAAAGCAAAAAUGUAGAAUCAAAUGGACUAUUCUAAGAAAUACCAAAAGCUUGACAAUGUUAAAUAUCGAAAGAAUCUCCAAACUAGUACAUACAAAAGUUUCAGGUUUCUCUGU
rnacentral:misc_RNA from 1 species